ensembl:misc_RNA Y_RNA Y RNA
GAAAAGUACACAGGCAGUGGUGUCUACAGCUAAUGGAUCACAGGCAGUUAUAGAUUUCUUUGUUCGUUUUCCACCCUCACUGCUUCACUUGACUAGCCUGAA